rnacentral:rRNA from 1 species
UACGUAGGGGGCAAGCGUUGUCCGGAUUUAUUGGGCGUAAAGAGCGUGUAGGCGGUUUGGUAGGUCCGUUGUGAAAACUCGAGGCUCAACCUCGAGACGCCGAUGGAAACCAUCAGACUAGAGUCCGGAAGAGGAGAGUGGAAUUCCCGGUGUAGCAGUGAAAUGCGUAGAGAUCGGGAGGAACACCAGUGGCGAAGGCGGCCUUCUGGACCAAUACUGACGCUCAUGCACGAAAGCGUGGGGAGCAAACAGG